rnacentral:tRNA from 1 species
GGAAUGGUGUAGUGGUAGCACGAAUGGCUCUGAACCAUUUAGUAGGGGUUCGAAUCCCUUUUCC